AACGAACGCUGGCGGCAGGCCUAACACAUGCAAGUCGAGCGCCCCGCAAGGGGCGCGGCGGACGGGUGAGUAACGCGUGGGAAUAUGCCCUUUGCUACGGAAUAGUCUCGGGAAACUGGGGGUAAUACCGUAUACGCCCUUUGGGGGAAAGAUUUAUCGGCGAAGGAUUAGCCCGCGUUGGAUUAGGUAGUUGGUGGGGUAAUGGCCUACCAAGCCGACGAUCCAUAGCUGGUUUGAGAGUAUGAUCAGCCACACUGGGACUGAGACACGGCCCAGACUCCUACGGGAGGCAGGAGUGGGGAAUCGUAGACAAUGGGGGCAACCCUGAUCGAGCCAUGCCGCGUGAGUGAUGAAGGCCUUAGGGUUGUAAAGCUCUUUCAGCUGGGAAGAUAAUGACGGUACCAGCAGAAGAAGCCCCGGCUAACUCCGUG
rnacentral:rRNA from 1 species